rnacentral:rRNA from 1 species
UACGGAGGGUGCGAGUGUUAUCCGGAAUCACUGGGCGUAAAGCGUCUGUAGGUGGUUUAAUAAGUCAACUGUUAAAUCUUGAGGCUCAACCUCAAAAUCGCAGUCGAAACUAUUAGGCUAGAGUAUAGUAGGGGUAAAGGGAAUUUCCAGUGGAGCGGUGAAAUGCGUAGAGAUUGGAAAGAACACCGAUGGCGAAGGCACUUUACUGGGCUAUUACUAACACUCAGAGACGAAAGCUAGGGUAGCAAAUGGG